GUGUGUGUGUCAGUGUAGUGAAUGCAGAGUGUGUGUCAGUGUAGUGAAUGCAGUGUGUGUGUUAGUGUAAUGAAUGCAGUGUGUGUGUGUCAGUGUAGUGAAUGCAGAGUGUGUGUCAGUGUAGUGAAUGCAGUGUGUGUGUUAGUGUAGUGAAUGCAGAGUGUGUGUCAGUGUAAUGAAUGCAGUGUGUGUGUUAGUGCAGUGAAUGCAGUGUAUGUGUUAGUGUAGUGAAUGCAG